rnacentral:rRNA from 1 species
AGGACGAACGCUGGCGGCGUGCUUAACACAUGCAAGUCGAGCGAACCUUCGGGUUAGCGGCGAACGGGUGAGUAACACGUGGGCAACCUGCCCCGAGCUCUGGGAUAACCCCGGGAAACCGGGGCUAAUACCGGAUAUGACCCGAGAAGACAUCUUCUCGGGUGGAAAGUUUUUCGGCUCGGGAUGGGCCCGCGGCCUAUCAGCUUGUUGGUGGGGUAACGGCCUACCAAGGCGACGACGGGUAGCCGGCCUGAGAGGGCGACCGGCCACACUGGGACUGAGACACGGCCCAGACUCCUACGGGAGGCAGCAGUGGGGAAUAUUGCGCAAUGGGCGAAAGCCUGACGCAGCGACGCCGCGUGAGGGAUGAAGGCCUCGGGUUGUAAACCUCUUUCAGCAGGGACGAAGCGCAAGUGACGGUACCUGCAGAAGAAGCACCGGCCAACUACGCGCCAGCAGCCGC